rnacentral:rRNA from 1 species
UCAAGCUAGAAAGAGCGCAAGGGGGAUGCCUUGGCACUGGGAGCCGAUGAAGGGCGUAGCGAUCUACGAAAAGCCACGGUUAGCCGAAAGCAGGCGCCUGACCCGUGGAUGCCCGAAUGGGGAAACCCGGCCGGAUAAGCCCGGUCACCAUACACUGAAUCCAUAGGUGUAUGGGGGGAACCGCCUGAACUGAAACAUCUAAGUAGGGCGAGGAAAAGACAUCAACCGAGAUUCCCUGAGUAGUGGCGAGCGAAAGGGGAAGAGGCCAAACCGAGGGUAGCAAUACCUUCGGGGUUCGGACAGCCGGAAGCAGGAGGACGUUUAGCUGAAGCGUAUGGGAAGACGCACCAUAGGGAGUGAGAGUCUCGUAGGCGAAAAGCGAAAUCCGCGGGCUGGAUCCAGAGUACCGCCGGACACGUGAAACCCGGUGGGAAGACGGGGGGACCACCCUCCAAGCCUAAAUACUACCCAGUGACCGAUAGCGAAUAGUACUGUGAAGGAAAGGUGAAAAGCACCCCGGGAGGGGAGUGAAAGAGAACCUGAAACCUUGUGCUUACAAGCACCGAGAGCCCGUCAAGGGGUGAUCGGGUACCUUUUGUAGAAUGGUCCGGCGAGUGAAUGUAACGAGCAAGGUUAAGCACUUAGGGUGUGGAGCCGAAGCGAAAGCGAGUCUGAAAAGGGCGAGAUUAGUUCGUUGUAUUCGACCCGAAACCGUGUGACCUACCCAUGUCCAGGUUGAAGUGGCGGUAAAACGCCAUGGAGGACCGAACCGACUCCCGUUGAAAUGGUAGCGGAUGAGAUGUGGGUAGCGGAGAAAUUCCAAUCGAACUCGGAGAUAGCUGGUUCUCUCCGAAAUAGCUUUAGGGCUAGCCUCGGUUUGAGAUUACUGGAGGUAAAGCACUGAAUGGGCUAGGGGCCGAGAGGUUACUGAACCCUAUCAAACUCAGAAUGCCAGAUAAUCAUAACCGGGAGUCAGACAGUGUGAGAUAAGUCUCAUUGUCGAAAGGGAAAGAGCCCAGACCCACAGCUAAGGUCCCUAAACAUGGUUAAGUGGAAAAGGAUGUGGGGUUGCACAGACAACCAGGAUGUUGGCUUAGAAGCAGCCACUCAUUAAAAGAGUGCGUAAUAGCUCACUGGUCGAGUGACCCUGCGCCGAAAAUUUAACGGGGCUAAACCAUGUACCGAAGCUUGGGAUUGCAUACUUGUAUGCAAUGGUAGGAGAGCGUUCCAUAUGGGGCGAAGUCAGAGCGGAAGCGCUGGUGGACUGUAUGGAAGUGAGAAUGCCGGAAUGAGUAGCGAGAAUUAUGUGAGAAUCAUAAUGGCCGAAAGUCUAAGGUUUUUGAAGGAAGGUUCGUCCGCUUCAAGAUAGCCGGGAGCUAAGGCGAGGCCGAAAGGCGUAGUCGAUGCACAUACGGUUGAUAUUCCGUAGCCGUCCGAAGAUUUAAGCAAGGGGACACUUUGAAAGCGCAUGACCCGGGCGAUGGUAGCCCCGGGCGAAAGGGACUGAAAUUCAAGUAGGGAAGCAUGCGUGGACGAAGGCGAGAAAAGCCUUGUGUAUAUCGAGGAUGCCCGUACCGCAAACCGACACAGGUAGACAGGAAGAGGAUUCUAAGGCCAACGGGAGAAGGGUAGUUAAGGAACUCGGCAAAUUGACCCCGUAACUUCGGGAAAAGGGGUGCUCUGGAAACAGAGCCGCAGUGAAUAGGCCCAGGCAACUGUUUAGCAAAAACACAGGUCUCUGCAAAAUCGAAAGAUGAAGUAUAGGGGCUGACACCUGCCCAGUGCUGGAAGGUUAAGAGGAGGGGUGCAAGCUCCGAAUCGAAGCCCCAGUGAACGGCGGCCGUAACUAUAACGGUCCUAAGGUAGCGAAAUUCCUUGUCGGGUAAGUUCCGACCCGCACGAAUGGUGUAAUGAUCUGGGCACUGUCUCAACUACCCGCCCGGCGAAAUUGUAGUACCGGUGAAGAUGCCGGUUACCCGCGACAAGACGGAAAGACCCCAUGGAGCUUCACUGCAGCUUAAUAUUGGGUUUCGAUAUUUUAUGUACAGGAUAGGCGGGAGACUAGGAAGCAGAGGCGCCAGCCUUUGUGGAGUCAACCUUGGGAUACCGCUCUUAAAGUAUUGGAAUUCUAACCUGCGGCCAUGAAUCUGGCCGGGGGACAUUGUUAGGCGGGCAGUUUGACUGGGGCGGUCGCCUCCAAAAGAGUAACGGAGGCGCUCAAAGGUUCGCUCAGCACGGACGGAAACCGUGCCUUAGAGUGUAAACGCAUAAGCGAGCCUAACUGCGAGACCGACGGGUCGAGCAGUAACGAAAGUUGGAGUUAGUGAUCCGGCGGUAUGAGAGUGGAAUUGCCGUCGCUCAACGGAUAAAAGCUACCCUGGGGAUAACAGGCUGAUCUCCCCCAAGAGUCCACAUCGACGGGGAGGUUUGGCACCUCGAUGUCGGCUCAUCACAUCCUGGGGCUGUAGUAGGUCCCAAGGGUUCGGCUGUUCGCCGAUUAAAGUGGUACGCGAGCUGGGUUCAGAACGUCGUGAGACAGUUCGGUCCCUAUCUGUCGCGGGCGCAGGAUAUUUGAAGGGCUCUGUCCUUAGUACGAGAGGACCGGGAUGGACGUACCUCUGGUGCACCAGUUGUCACGCCAGUGGCACAGCUGGGCAGCUAAGUACGGUGCGGAUAAACGCUGAAAGCAUCUAAGCGUGAAGCCGACCCUAAGAUAAGAUAUCCCACUGAGUAAUCAGGUAAGGUCCCAGGAAGACUACCUGGUAGAUAGGCUGCAUGUGUAAGAGCAGUGAUGUUUUUAGCUUGGCAGUACUAAUAGACCGAGGGCUUGACCU